UCGACCGUUAAUUUUUUAAAAAUUUGAAAAACAAAAAUGUCACAAAAAACACUAUAUUACUUCUCAUCUCUGCUGAGAAGCUGUGCUUCUGUCUUAGCAAUCUCUCCGGCAAAACAAACCCACACUCAAAUCCUCGUUCAUGGCUUUCUUCCCAACGUUAUCCACCAAACGUAUCUCUUGUUAGCUUAUUCUAAAUGCGCGUUUCUCCGCGAGGCUCGCUACGUGUUUGAUAUAAUGGCUGAAAGAAACAUGCAUUCAUGGAACAUUCUGAUUGCUUCUUAUGUUAGUAAUUCUAUGUAUUGUGAUGCUUUAUGUAUAUUUGAUGUGUUUCUUGAGAUGGGUUUUCGACCUGAUCACUAUACAUUGCCUCCUGUGAUUAGGGCUUGUGGAGGUAUUGGAGAUGUUUUCAUGGGGAAGGUGUUUCAUGGUUGGGUGAUAAGGCUUGGGUUUGAGGCAUAUGUGGUUGUGGGUAGUUCUGUUCUGGAUUUUUAUGUUAGAAUUGAAGAUUUUGUUGAUGCAAAGCGAGUUUUUUCAGGUAUGCUGUGGAAGGACUCUGUUGUUUGGAAUGCUAUGAUUUCAGGGUCUGAGAAAGCUGGUUUGCAUAGGGAGGCUUUGAAAUAUUUUAGGAAUAUGAAUGAGGGAGGAGUGAGGAUGGAUUCCAUGGUGAUUCCUAGUGUUUUGCAGGCAUGUGGAGGGGAUGGAGACUUGAUUAAAGGGAAGGAAAUACAUGGUCAAGUUGUUAAGAGCAUUCUUUUUGAGGGAGAUAUAGCAGUUUGGAAUUCGUUGAUUGAUAUGUAUGCGAAGUGUGGAUGUUUGCAAGAUGCUGAGAAGGUUUUCAAGAAUAUGCACCAGUCUAAUUUGGUAACCUGGACGACAAUGAUAUCUUGCUAUGGGAUCCAUGGAAAAGGAGAGGAUUCUUUGUUUCUUUUUAAGAAAAUGAAAGAUUGUGGAUUUGAACCUAACUGUGUCACAUUUACUGCAGUUUUGUCUAGUUGCAGCCACUCAGGUCUCAUAGAUCAGGGCCGGAGGAUUUUCAACUCCAUAAGCUGUGAUUAUGGGUUUCAACCCAGUGUCGAGCACUACGCUUGUAUGGUGGACCUCUUGAGUCGAUUUGGGUAUCUUGAGGAAGCGCUUGCAUUGGUAAAAAAUGUAAACUUGGAGGUGGCUGCAAGUGUCUGGGGUGCCUUGCUUGCAGGUUGUAUGAUGCACAAAAAUGUUGAGAUUGGAGAAAUUGCAUCUCGUCAUCUCUUUGACUUGGAACCUAGAAAUCCUAGCAACCAUGUAGCGUUAUGUUCUAUUUAUGAUUCUCUUGGUAUGUUGGAUGGUGUCUCAAGAACUAGAAUGAUGAUGAGGAAGUUAGGUUUGACCAAAAGUCCUGGUUGCAGUUGGAUAACCAUUAUGGGGAAAACCCAUGUAUUCUACCAAGGGGAUCAAUCUCAUCCCCUAACUCAGAUGAUGUACAAAAUAUUAGCUGAAAUCAUAAAGGAACCAAUGUUGCCUGAUGAUUGUGGACAGGGAAACAUCUUUGAAGCCCAAAAGAGGUUUCAAUGGUUGGGAAUUGCAUCAAAUUUCCACUAUCUUAAAUCAGUAGGUGCUUCGUGCUCUUGAUUGAAGUGGUGAGCAAUUGUCAGUGGUAACAUGUAUAUGACAUCCAUUGGAUAUUUUUCAUAGUAGAUAUAUCCGAUGCUUAAGGAUAAACAUUAAUUUGGAUGAGGAAUAUUAUCUGUAUUAUCUAAUCAUUAUCUGCCUCUUCCUGUUGAGAUUUAGGCAUUACCAAUUAUGGGGAAUCUUCUACUGCUCCAUGGCUCAUAACCUAACUCAGUUUUGGCUUUGUGCUCAAGAUGGUGAUGGCUGGACAAUGCUGCCACAUCUAAAGGUUGAGGAUGAUCCUGUGAGCUUUUAGUGUAGGAGUCUUGCACAAGACUGUUUUUCUUGAUCUCUUCCUCAAUAUGCA